GGUGACAGCGGUCAUCUGGAUCUCAAAAUUGUUAAUUGGGCACCAAGCGAUAGGAGAGCGAUAGGAGUGCGAGAGGAGAGAGAGAGCGUGAGAACGGUGUCGUGAUCGUCGCAGGGUCAGAUUAGUCGAGAUAGCGCAGGCCUAGUGAUCGGACCCGUUUUUGAGUUUGAAUAAAGUGACAAACUACAAAACCGCCGAACUAUUAUUUUUGAACGGAACAAUUCUCAAAAACGGCCAAGUAUAGUGCGCUAAAGACGCGGAAAACAGGACAUAGAGACUAUACAAUCCGUGUGCGUUGUGUGCUUAGGACAGAGCGUGGCGUUUUUACCAGCACGUCGGUAAAAUAUAGUGCGUCGUCGUGUGCGUUGUGUAGAUAGUGCAUAGCGUUAACCAGUGCGUCGGACAACUGUACAGAGUGUCGUCGUGUGCGUCGCGUAGUUCAGAGAAGUGCACAGCGUUUUACGAGCACGAAGGGAAUGUAUAGUGUGUCCGUGUGUGCGUUUGUGUAGCUUAAGGAAGUGCACAUCGUUUAACGAGAACGCUAAGGAGCAGUACAUCGGGUCGUCGUGUGCGUUGCACGGUUUGAAAAAGUGCACAACGCUUACCAGGUCGUCGUGAAAAGUACAGAGUGUUCCGCGUUGCGUUCGUGUAUUCUAGGAAGAAACACGUGCAAGCGUGUACAUUCGUGUAUCGUGGUUGUGUGCGCUCGCAGCGUGAAGGUGUACAGCGUUUACCGGUACGCCGGACAAAGCGUAUUGUGCCGAGUGUGAGUUCGUGCCUUUCUAGGAAGAAUCGUGUUUGAACAGGAAUCGGAGUGGCGUGCGCUGCGCAGCUUGAAAGUGUACAACGUUUACCGAUGAAAGCAUUGUGUGUCGUUUUGUGUGGACAUUGUUAGUUCGUGCGCAUCGUCAGGUAUUUCGGCAGAAAACGUUUGUGUCCGUUUAGUUUAAACAAUGCCGAGAGUACGGAGAUCUACAGCGAAGGUGCAGGAAGCUGAUGCUCAGAAGAUGGAUGAAGUUGCUGUUAACGUUUCGCAAGAACUCGUUGAUGAGAACAAUGAUGGUAACGUUACGAUUUUAGAGCAACUGAUCGUAGCUGAGAAAUCCAAGCACGCUACCGAAAUGGCAUUGCGAAAGGAGCUGAUUGAACUGAAAAAACAACAUCAAAUGGAACUACGGGAAUUGCAGGAAUCUUUGGAUUCCAUCACGGAAGAGAAACCGAAGGUUUCACGUCGCAUAACAAAAGAUCAAGCAGCGGCCAGGAAAACUAUUUCUUUGGCACUUCCCAAGUUCUGUGGAGAACCAGAUGUGUGGCCGUUUUUCAUCAGCAGCUUCAAAACAACAACGGAAGAUUGUACACCGGUGAGUAGUCAGAAAGCAGGGAAGUACGAAGCUCUGAAACAACGCUCCAGACCAGUGAAAUCGAAUGCAGUCCAAAUGCGCAACAACGUGCAUGAUUUGGAAAAUAGUGGAGUCAACCAGCUCAAGAUGACCUGUUGGGUGUGCAGCAACACAGGGCAUAGCCUCAAGGAGUGUGACCAGUUUAAGGAGAUGACGCUAGUCGAUCGUUUCAAAACAUUGGAGAAGCUCAAAAUAUGUAAGUUGUGUUUGUCCCGUUCCUGCCGCGGUAAAUGUAAAAUUGCUUACAAAUGUCGGGUAGAAGGGUGUAACAGUAGACAUCAUACAUUAAUGCACUGUGCAGAGGAAGUUCUCCAAGUUCACUCAGAAACAGCUAGCCCUGGAACUGUCAUCUAUCGCACGAUGCCGAUUACACUAUAUGCGGAACGAAACAGUGUCGAUGUCAUCGCCUUUAUCGACGAAGGGUCGUCGGGAACUUUGCUGGAAGCCGGAGUCGCCAAACGACUGAAUGUUACUGGACCAACGGAACCGCUGGUUAUCUCGUGGACGAACAGCAUCAAGCGUGAAGAACAUGAUUCAAAGAGAUUUUCGUUGAAAACUUCAGCCCAGGGUUCGUCAGAAAGGUGGAAUCUACUGAACGUUAGAACUGUAUCAGAGCUGUUACUGCCUAAGCCAAAAAAGUCAGUAGCUGAAGUAAUCAAGAAAUAUAAACAUCUUUCAGACGUUCCAGUGCUAGACCACCCUAAUGAAGCGCCAUCUAUGAUUAUUGGUCUGGAUAACAUAGAUUUGUUUGCAGCUUUGGAAACUCGAAUCGGCAACCGCGGAGAACCGAUAGCUGUAAGGUCCAAGCUAGGAUGGACGGUGUACGGUGUCGAUGGAUAUCGUAAGGUGUAUAACGUUCCCGUAAAUAUGCACCAGAUCCAGUCUUUGGACAACAGACAGCUGCACGACAUGAUGAAACAACAAUACCAGCUGGAAGAGCUUCGCAGCGAUAACUACAACCCGCCAAUAGCGAACGAAGAACAACGAGCUAGAGAUAUCCUAGAGAAAACCACGUGUCGAGUAGGAGAUCGGUUUCAAACGGGACUGUUGUGGCGUGAUGAUGUUCGAGAACUUCCCGAAAGCUACCCCAUGGCGGAGAAGAGAAUGCUACAACUGUCCAGAAAGCUCAGUAAGAAACCGGAUCUGAACACUGCGGUAUGUCGGAUGAUACAAGAGUAUCAAGACAAAGGAUAUGCUCACGAGCUAGCGGAGUCGGAGUUAGUCGAAGGCGCCUAUGAACCGGUAUGGUAUUUACCAUUGAACGUGGUACAACAUGCAAAGAAGCCAGACAAGAUAAGACUUGUUUGGGAUGCUGCAGCAUCAGUAGAUGGAGUAUCUUUAAACUCUCUACUGCUUAAAGGACCGGACAUGUUGGUCCCGCUUCCGAAGAUCAUCUGUAAAUUCCGUGAGAAACCCAUCGCGUUUGGAGGGGACAUCAAGGAGAUGUUCCAUCAGCUACGGAUUUGUGAGAAAGACAAACAUGCUCAGCGAUUUCUAUUUGGAACAAAGCCCUGCGGAGCACCUCGUGUGUACGUGAUGGACGUUGCGACCUUUGGUGCUACCUGCUCGCCCUGCUCAGCACAGUACGUGAAGAACCUGAAUGCUCGGGAGUUCGCCGAACAGUUUCCCGGAGCAGCGUCAGCAAUCAUCGGGAAUCAUUACGUGGAUAAUUAUUACGACAGUGCAGACAGCGUUGGCGAAGCGGUUGAGUUGGCGAAGGAUGUGAGGUACGUACACUCCCGUGGAGGGUUCCACAUUCGUAAUUGGGUUUCAAACAGCAUGGAGUUUCUGGAAGCUUUGGAAGAGCGGAACGCGACAUCAACUCUUCGCUUUACGGAUGAUAAGGAGUCAACAUUCGAUCGAGUGCUGGGAAUAUGCUGGAAACCUCAAGAAGACGUCUUCUGUUUUGAAGCCACGACCGAGAUGGAAUUGAGCAAGUAUGUUACAGGUACCAUCCGUCCUUCGAAACGUGUCGUAUUGAGUGUAGUAAUGGCUCAAUUCGAUCCGAUGGGUUUCAUCACACCAGUAACAAUACGAGGAAAGAUGCUCAUACAAGACCUCUGGAGAUCGGGAUGUGAUUGGGACACAGCGAUAGAUGCGGAGUCACAUGGGAAGUGGGUGUUGUGGAUCAAAUCAUUAAUGAGUCUAAAAUCGUUGCAGAUACCACGAUGUUAUUUCGGAGACUCAAGAUCCCAAGACGUAUCAGACAUCCAGCUUCAUGUCUUCACAGAUGCCAGCGAGACGGCCUUUGGAUGCGUGGCUUACCUAAGAGCAAUCGUGCAUGGCAAAGUAUGCUGUACGUUGGUGAUGAGUCGGUCGAAGGUUGCACCCCUUAAACCAUUGUCAGUACCGCGUUUGGAGCUUCAAGCGGCGGUGCUGGGUGUUCGACUGGCGAAAACCGUUAUCGAGUCCCAUCAUCUGGUUAUCUCAAGACAGUUCUUCUGGACAGAUUCCAAAGUGGUGUUGUCCUGGAUAAGAUCGGAUGUGCGACGUUACAAACAGUUCGUGGGACUGAGAGUAGGAGAGAUUCUCGGUAAUAGCAGCGUAGAGGAUUGGAGUUGGGUGCCGUCGAGUGAAAAUGUAGCAGAUGUAAUCACUAAAUGGGGAAAGACCAACAGCCCCGUUGAUGAGAGUGUAUGGAUACAUGGACCUGCAUUUUUGAGCAAGAACGAAGACGAAUGGCCGCCUCAACAGAAGCCGGAGCUUAACACCGCGGAGGAGAUACGAGUACACUUGCUGAUACAUGACGUGAUGGUACCUGGAGCACUUAUAGACGCCAGUCGUAUUUCCAAGUGGACGGUGUUGGUGCGUACCGUGGCGUGUGUACUGCGAUUUAUUUCGAACUGCCGCAGGAAAGCAAAAGGAGAACCCCUCGAGACGUUGCGAGCGACGGAGAAUCAUCUACGACUACUAUUGAACGCAAAGGUACAAAGCCGGCGAACCCCUCUUCAGCAAAACGAGUACGACAAGUCUGAGAAGCUAUUGAUGAGAGUAGCACAAUCUGAAUGCUUUGUAGACGAGAUCAAGGUUAUGACUAAGAAUAUGGGUCGCCCCUCAGAACAAUGGAUGAGCCUCGACAAGGGUAGCCCGCUCUAUAAGCUAUCUCCAUUGCUAGAUGAGGACGGACUUAUACGGAUGGAAGGACGAACUGAGCAAGCCAAGUUUCUUCCGUUUAGUCUACGAUUUCCGGUGAUCUUACCAGACAAGCAUCCGAUUACAGAGUCCAUCGUGCGUCAUUACCACGAGAGAAGUGGUCACGGCUACCGCGAAGCAGUAAAGAACGAGCUCCGUCGAGCGUACUUCAUAAUACACCUAGACGCUACAGUUCGGAGAGUAUCAUCGGCGUGUGUGUGGUGCAAGGUGCACCGGAACCGUCCGAAGGUGCCGAGGAUGGCACCCUUACCUGUUCAACGUCUAACGCCUUUUUUAAGACCUUUCAGCUUCACUGGAGUUGAUUAUCUCGGACCGUUUACCGUAACCGUUGGAAGACGUUCGGAGAAGCGCUGGAUAGUGCUGUUUACCUGCCUGGUGGUCCGAGCCGUCCAUCUCGAAGUUGCCAGUGAGCUGACUACGCAGUCCUGCAUGAUGACCAUCCGACGUUUCGUCUGUCGUAGAGGCUGGCCAAUGGAAUUCCUGUCGGACAACGGCACCAAUUUCCAAGGUGCCAGCAAGCUGAUAGUCACCGCGAUCGAUGAGGAUUGUGCUGAUCAGAUGACGAAUGCUAGGACCAAAUGGACGUUCAAUCCUCCAGCAGCACCCCAUAUGGGAGGGGUGUGGGAGCGUCUCGUGCGGUCGGUGAAAGACGUUUUGAAGGCCCUUGACGAUGGGCGACGCCUUACUGACGAGAUUCUGCAAACCAGCGUUCUGGAGGCCGAAGACAUCAUCAAUUCCAGACCGUUAGUAACAGUGUCGCAACAUGGAAGUGACGAAGAGACACUAACACCUAACCAUUUUCUGCGUGGAGUGCAUGGUAGAGACGAACGCGUCGUCCCCCCUACUAACCCUAAGAUAGCGAUGCGUGAUACAUAUGAGAGGUCCCAGCAACUUGCAGAUCUAAUGUGGGAAAAAUGGGUAAAAGAGUAUGCUCCCACUCUGAAUCAAAGGAAGAAGUGGUUUGGGGAUAAUCGAUCGCUAGGAGUAGGUGACUUAGUCUAUGUGGUAGAUGGCAAAUGUAGAAAGCAAUGGGUGCGGGGAAUUGUUGAAGAGGUCAUAAAGGCAGGAGACGGACGGGUACGCCAGGUUUGGGUACGCACACAGAACGGAAGGUUCAAGCGAGCAGUACACAAUCUUGCUGUAUUGGAAGUAGAGUAAAGGGUAACGCCAGUAAGGAUACACUGGGUUACGGGCGGGGGGAUGUCCAGGUGACAGCGGUCAUCUGGAUCUCAAAAUUGUUAAUUGGGCACCAAGCGAUAGGAGAGCGAUAGGAGUGCGAGAGGAGAGAGAGAGCGUGAGAACGGUGUCGUGAUCGUCGCAGGGUCAGAUUAGUCGAGAUAGCGCAGGCCUACCCGGCAAACAAUUCGGGUCAGUUUGUAGAUCUUACUUAUUACCGAUAUGUGCAGUGCCUUGGAAUAACAAAAAUUGCUUCAAAAAAGCUGUGUGUGUGGCUGAUACUCUAGCAUCUUUCCAUGUGUGUAAACAACGCCAAGAGUAUUACUGUUUUGUGAUCAUCAUAUUUCAUUCGGAUUGCACAUUACCGGGCAGAAAAGGGUAACGUAUUGUUUUCCA